rnacentral:rRNA from 1 species
AUUGAACGCUGGCGGCAGGCUUAACACAUGCAAGUCGAACGAGUGGCGGACGGGUGAGUAAUGCUUGGGAAUCUAGCUUAUGGAGGGGGAUAACUACGGGAAACUGUAGCUAAUACCGCGUACCAUCGGCUGAGCCCCAGUGGGAUUCGGUAGUUGGUGAGGUAAAGGCUCACCAAGCCGACGAUCUCUAGCUGGUCUGAGAGGAUGACCAGCCAAACUGGAAAUGAGACAGCGCCCAGACUCCUAAGAGAGGCAGCAGUGGGGAAUAUUGCGCAAUGGGGGCAACCUGACGGAGCCAUGCCGCGUGAAUGAAGAAGGCCUUCGGGUUGGAAAGUUCUUGCGGUAGAGAGGCGUUAACUAAAGAAGAAGCACCGGCUAACUCCGUGCCAGGAGGCGCGGUAAUUC